UUUUAUAAAUUAAAUAUUAGUUAUGACUAAUCGUUUCCUUAACUUCCCUUUGAUCUAAACUACUUAAUAUUAAACCUUGCCUUCCAUUUACUGUUAUGGGAAAAUUCUAAUUUAGACGUUUGUUGCUAACAUCAUAUAACAGCUCGAUUCCACUGCCACCAUAGCUUAUUGGAAACUCUGCUUCUGUUUUUGGCUUGAUAACAUUUUAUUGAUUUCCUGACAAAUAUUCUAUCUGUGUAUCAUUCUUUUGAUCUAUUGUAAAUGGGCCGAUGUUGGGCUAUGGAGAGUUAUGCUUGAGUACUUUUGAUAAUCUUGUAACAUUUGUUUAAAUGCAGGUUUGUACUGACUGAUGCUUUGAAGUACUGAAAUUAUUUCUGCUCGCGCACUGUGAAAUAAUAUGGUAAAUUGAAUUUGGAAAGAGAUGCGUAUGUUAAUUGCUUAUAUGUGCACUCUCCAAGUCGCUUUGUUGUCUUUGUUUACUUCCCUGACUUUUUCACCUUGAACUAUUUUAGAUUUUUCUACUUAUGAACUGAUGUUUGCUGGUAUAGCAGCAACUUUGCUUUGCACUUUAAAGAUUUGCAGUGGCUAUAUAUGCAUCUAAUAGUUAUAUUUAUGUGUUCUAAUGUUAAUUUUGGUAGUUCUAGAAUGAGAUUGCCUUUUAAUAUGAGGCUUAUGCACUGAACAUGGGCCCUUGUCUUCAUUGAUUAAACAGCUGUACAAUAAUAUAGCAUCAGGUCAUUCGCCUAUGCUAAACCUUGAAUAUUUGGUUGUUGUGGACCAUCUGGUGACAAAACUAGCUUUGGCUGGUUUACUAGUGGUUACAACUUCAGUUCGCUUCCUAAAGUUAUUUCAUUGUGGAAUCCAAAAUAUCAAUUCAUUAUCAUCAAAUGUUUUAAUUGUUGUGUGGGAGAUUCUAAGCUAGUAGAAGUUCAAAACUUAAUGCUCUUUCUGAGCAAUAUUUCGUUUCUCGUGUGAUACCAAUGCUUUGGUGCUGGGUGUGAAAACUGGAUGCAGGAUCCUAAUGGUUUCAUUGAUGAGAAGGCUGAAAGUAGACUUUAUAUUGGCAACCUUGACUUGAGAAUAACAGAGGCUGCUCUGCUCAAGAUGUUUUCUCCAUAUGGCAAGAUUGUAUCUGAGGACUUCUUAUGGCAUACCCGUGGACCAAAACGUGGGGAGCCACGGGGCUUUGCUUUUAUCCAGUUUAGCACCAAAGAGUGAGCAUGCAGGAAGCUAAAUUGGCCAAGGAGAAAAUGCAUGGGAGAUUAGCUUGUGGCCGCCCUUUGGUUGUUCACCUUGCCAGUGAGAAAUACUUGGAGGAAGCAGCGCAGGAUUCUUCGAAAACAGUAGGUGAGAUGACCAAAAGAGGCAUUGCUGGUGGCACUUCGGGACAGAUGAGUCGGAGUGUUAAGAUAGCUGCGAUAAAGACCAAAUUGAAAACCCUGGAAGAGGAGAGCUCUAGUGUGAAGAAGCAGAAGCAAUCUGACAUCAUUUCUUGUAACAAUGUUGUUGAUCAUUCAUCUGGCAAAAGAUGAUGAAUAAUAAUGCUGAAGAGAAUAUGAACAUUGGAAGUAAUUUCAGAAUCUGUGUAGGAUUGAGCAUCACUGUACCAAAUUUCAGGUUAUUGCUGUUGAUACAAUGAUAUGUUAACCUGCACAAGAAUUCUUUGGCCUGACUUUCCAUGUCCUGAAAUUUGUGGCUUAUGGAAAUGGCAUGUUAACAACAGCCUUGGAUGGUGAAAAUGAAAAUCAGUGGUUUGGAAUUUUUCAUGAAAUGCUGUUAUUAAUGGCAUGACUCGUGGAUGUUUUCUGGUUUAUGAUUUUUU
rnacentral:misc_RNA from 1 species